UUUCUCUCUUCACACUGAUUCUGGAAAAAAACAAUUCUCUCUCUUUCCAUUAGUCAAACCUAAAACAAGUCUCAUUAUCAAACGAUCCUCCACUCUCUCAUGACUUUCUCUCUCCGUCGCUUCACUCUCUCCCUCUCUCUUAACUCUGUUUUAUGAAUCGACUCUCUCUCUCCUUUUCACGAUUUCAUGGCACAUAACAACAAAAACAACAUGCAAAAACCAAGCUCAAACGAAGAAUAGAUCUCAAACGCACACAAAGCAAAAAUCACGUAAAAAAAAUCAGAUGCCAUGGAUUCGGUUCAACACAGAAGAAUAAAAGUUGCAGCAAAGCCUAAUGGAUGAUAAAAAGGAAACUCAUAGAAGAAGGUAGACGCAAAUGGUUUACCAAAUCAGAAGUUCUGAAAAUCUCCGGGUUGGCGAGAUCUUUCGAAUUCCAACAAAGGCCUUCUUCCGCAAGCGAUUCUUUAAUGAGGUUACAACGUGAAGUGACUUGAUGGAAUGGAAGGUUGGAUCCACUCUAUGAGGCAAUUGGAUUUAGGAGCGUUUUGGCCUGAAGAAAGAUUUUGGCCGUUGGUUCUUCAAAAGCUUUGUUCUCAACCUGUCAUUGUUGCAACAACUUUUAUUUGGAUUUGUAUUGUGGAUAAUUAUGCAACUGUUCUUGAAUGGUUUGUAAUGUGUGAAGUUUUUAAAAAAAAUGUUUAUGUAAUUAAUUUUCUUUUUGUUUAAAAACAACUAAAUUUUAUUUUAAUAUUUUGUUUGUAUAUGUCCCAUUAAGGUGUUUUAAAAUUUGUCUUGUUAUC